AGCAGCCGCGGUAAUUCCAGCUCCAAUAGCGUAUAUUAAAGUUGUUGCAGUUAAAAAGCUCGUAGUUGAAUUUCGGGAUCAAUAUUUCGGUCAUGCCGUUGGUAUGCACUGUUAUCAUUGAUUUCUCACCUUCUAAAGAACCGUAAUGCCAUUAAUUUGGUGUUACGGGGAAUUAGGACUGUUACCUUGAAAAAUUAGAGUGUUUAAAGCAAGCUCACGCUUGAAUACAUUAGCAUGGAAUAAUGAAAUAGGACGUUUGAUUCUAUUUUGUUGGUUUCUAGGAUCGACGUAAUGAUUAAUAGGGAUAGUUGGGGGCAUUAGUAUUCAAUUGUCAGAGGUGAAAUUCUUGGAUUUAUUGAAGACUAACUACUGCGAAAGCAUUUGCCAAGGAUGUUUUCAUUAAUCAAGAACGAAAGUUAGGGGAUCGAAGACGAUCAGAUACCGUCGUAG
rnacentral:rRNA from 1 species